UACAGAGGGUGCAAGCGUUAAUCGGAAUUACUGGGCGUAAAGGGCGCGUAGGUGGUUGUAUAAGUGAGAUGUGAAAUCCCCGGGCUUAACCUGGGAAUGGCAUUUUAUACUGUAUGGCUAGAGUACAUGAGAGGGUAGUGGAAUUUCCGGUGUAGCGGUGAAAUGCGUAGAUAUCGGAAGGAACACCAGUGGCGAAGGCGGCUACCCGGCAUGAUACUGACACUGAGGCGCGAAAGCGUGGGGAGCAAACAGG
rnacentral:rRNA from 1 species